UACGUAGGGGGCAAGCGUUGUCCGGAAUCAUUGGGCGUAAAGCGCGUGUAGGCGGUUCGGUAAGUCCGCUGUGAAAGUCGGGGGCUCAACCCUCGGAUGCCGGUGGAUACUGUCGGGCUUGAGUACGGAAGAGGCGAGUGGAAUUCCUGGUGUAGCGGUGAAAUGCGCAGAUAUCGGGAAGAACACCCGUGGCGAAGGCGGCUCUCUGGGACGGUACUUACGCUGAGACGCGAAAGCGUGGGGAGCGAACAGG
rnacentral:rRNA from 1 species